AUUGAACGUUGGCGGCACGCCUUAAACAUGCAAGUCGAACGAGAAAGCACUUCGGUGUGAGUACAGUGGCGGACGGGUGAGUAACGCGUAGGAAUCUACCUUUAGGUGGGGGACAACUCGGGGAAACUCGAGCUAAUACCGCAUAACAUCUAAGGAUCAAAGUGGGGGAUCUUCGGACCUCACGCCUAAAGAGGAGCCUGCGUUAGAUUAGCUAGUUGGUGAGGUAAUGGCUCACCAAGGCGACGAUCUAUAGCUGGUCUGAGAGGACGAUCAGCCACACUGGAACUGAGACACGGUCCAGACUUCUACGGGAGGCAGCAGUUGGGAAUAUUGCGCAAUGGGCGAAAGCCUGACGCAGCGAUGCCGCGUGUGUGAAGAAGGCCUUAGGGUUGUAAAGCACUUUCAGUCGCGAAGAAAAGCCAGUGGUUAAUAACCUCUGGUCUUGACGUUAUCGACAGAAGAAGUACCGGCUAACUCCG
rnacentral:rRNA from 1 species